CCGUUGCCUCUACCGAUUGAUGGCUCAGUGAGGCUUUCGGACUGGCCCAGAGAGGUGGGCAACUACCACUCAGGGCCGGAAAGUUAUCCAAACUCGGUCAUUUAGAGGAAGUAAAAGUCGUAACAAGGUCUCCGUUGGUGAACCAGCGGAGGGAUCAUUACUGAGUUACCGCUCUACAACCCUUUGUGAACAUACCUCAACUGUUGCUUCGGCGGGCAGGAGGACAACCCCCCUCGGGGGGCGGUCCCCCUCCCGGCCGCGCCCUCACGGGCGUGGCGCCCGCCGGAGGAUACCAAACUCUAUUUUAACGACGUUUCUUCUGAGUGGCACAAGCAAAUAAUUAAAACUUUUAACAACGGAUCUCUUGGUUCUGGCAUCGAUGAAGAACGCAGCGAAAUGCGAUAAGUAAUGUGAAUUGCAGAAUUCAGUGAAUCAUCGAAUCUUUGAACGCACAUUGCGCCCGCCAGCAUUCUGGCGGGCAUGCCUGUUCGAGCGUCAUUUCAACCCUCAAGCCCAGCUUGGUGUUGGGGCCCUACGGUCGACGUAGGCCCUUAAAGGUAGUGGCGGACCCUCCCGGAGCCUCCUUUGCGUAGUAACUUAACGUCUCGCACUGGGAUCCGGAGGGACUCUUGCCGUAAAACCCCCAAAACUUUUACAGGUUGACCUCGGAUCAGGUAGGAAUACCCGCUGAACUUAAGCAUAUCAAUAAGCGGAGGAAAAGAAACCAACAGGGAUUGCCCCAGUAACGGCGAGUGAAGCGGCAACAGCUCAAAUUUGAAAUCUGGCCCCAGGCCCGAGUUGUAAUUUGCAGAGGAUGCUUUUGGCGCGGUGCCUUCCGAGUUCCCUGGAACGGGACGCCAUAGAGGGUGAGAGCCCCGUACGGUUGGACACCAAGCCUUUGUAAAGCUCCUUCGACGAGUCGAGUG
rnacentral:rRNA from 1 species